UACGGAGGGUGCGAGCGUUGUCCGGAAUCACUGGGCUUAAAGGGCGCGUAGGCGGGCUCACAAGUCAGGGGUGAAAGCCCACGGCUCAACCGUGGAAGUGCCUUUGAUACUGUGGGUCUUGAGGGAGGUAGGGGCGUGCGGAACUUCCGGUGGAGCGGUGAAAUGCGUAGAUAUCGGAAGGAACACCGGUGGCGAAAGCGGCGCGCUGGACCUCCACUGACGCUGAGGCGCGAAAGCCAGGGGAGCAAACGGG
rnacentral:rRNA from 1 species